rnacentral:misc_RNA from 1 species
AAGUCGUAACAAGGUCUCCGUUGGUGAACCAGCGGAGGGAUCAUUACUGAGUUCUACAAAAAACUCCCCAACCCUUUGUGAAUUAUACCUUAGUUGCCUCGGCGUCGAGCGAGUCAACCUACCCGGGAGCUACCCUGGAGUCACCUACCCUGUAGAACCUACCCUGUAGGACCUACCCUGUAGACGGCUACCCUGGAGCUACCCUGUAGUUGCACUUUCGCGUCGCCGGUGGACUACCAAACUCUUAUAUGUAUAGUGUAUCUCUGAAUUCUUAACAAAUUAGUUAAAA